UACGGAGGGGGCUAGCGUUGUUCGGAAUUACUGGGCGUAAAGAGCGCGCAGGCGGUCGAUCAAGUCGAGUGUGAAAGCCCCCGGCUCAACUGGGGAGGGUCAUUCGAUACUGAUCGACUCGAAGGCAGGAGAGGGUAGUGGAAUUCCCGGUGUAGUGGUGAAAUGCGUAGAUAUCGGGAGGAACACCGGUGGCGAAGGCGGCAUCCUGGACCAACACUGACGCUGAGUGAGCGAAAGCCAGGGGAGCAAACGGG
rnacentral:rRNA from 1 species